AAUGAGGCGGAGCUGGGCUGCAGGAGACGGAGGACAGCGUGGUGUUCUCAAGGGAAUUUAGCCAAACAUUUCGUCCUAACCUCAACAACAGGUCCUCGUGAGUCCUCAUACAACCUAUCCUUAGGCGGUAACAGGCUGCAGCUGUUGAAGUCUAAUUUCACUCUAUUGAUUGGGUUUUUCAUGGGCCGAUCUGCUGAAUUCAGCCUAGGAGCUGAGGCCAACAUCUGAGUCUCUUCAGCAUACAAGUUUGAAAGAAGUCCUAGCAACUUCAAGCUCAGAACUACGGGUGGCAGCAGCUCCUUCUUGACGUCGAAGCCUCCCAUUCCAGAGAGAGUCAAGGCCCGGAUCAAAAAAAGCCCACAAGCACCGAUGACUGAGCUGCUGACUACCCCAGCAUCUCCAACUCAACCUCCUCUUUCUGCCUCUACCCAAAUUUUAAAACUUUUAAACAUGGGUUUAAAAAUGGUAAUGAGUAAAGUUGCAUCCAAGUGUAUCAAAUAAAAUUAAAUAUCCAUAAAUGCUGUAAUAAUUCCUGCUUUGAUGCUGAACUAAAGAAUUUUCUGCUGGGCGCGGUGGCUCAUGCCUGUAAUCCCAGCACUUUGGGAGGCCAAGGCAGGU
rnacentral:lncRNA from 1 species